rnacentral:misc_RNA from 1 species
AGCUGUUCCCUCUGGAGGUGAAAACCUUCAUACCUAUGGGCCUCGGUUUCCGAUGGCCCAUUUUUCUAGUCCGC